GCAGUGGGGAAUAUUGCACAAUGGGCGAAAGCCUGAUGCAGCGACGCCGCGUGAGGGAUGACGGCCUUCGGGUUGUAAACCUCUUUCAGCUCCGAAGAAGCGAAAGUGACGGUAGGAGCAGAAGAAGCACCGGCUAACUACGUGCCAGCAGCCGCGGUAAUACGUAGGGUGCAAGCGUUGUCCGGAAUUAUUGGGCGUAAAGAGCUCGUAGGCGGUGUGUCGCGUCUGCUGUGAAAACUCAGGGCUCAACUCUGAGCUUGCAGUGGGUACGGGCACACUAGAGUGCUGUAGGGGAGACUGGAAUUCCUGGUGUAGCGGUGAAAUGCGCAGAUAUCAGGAGGAACACCGGUGGCGAAGGCGGGUCUCUGGGCAGUUACUGACGCUGAGGAGCGAAAGCAUGGGGAGCGAACAGGAUUAGA
rnacentral:rRNA from 1 species